GCCAUCUCGGCGUCGUAUACUUUAUCCUGUUAAAAUUCUGACGGCCAGUGCACUGUCGCCAUGUUAUGAGCAAGUCUAUGCUAUCUACACAGCUGCUGUGUGUAUAUGAAGGUACUCAUAUCUUUGGAAAGCUAAGAUUCUUGUGAUUCGAUUGAUAUAUACCGUACUGAGGUACACUCACAACAGCAGCUACAAUCAGUGUCUCUGUCAGACCACCGACAUACAAACAAACAAUUACGAAACAGAGGGAACUCGCCUCAUAUGAAGCCUCAUAGUAAUCUACUGAUCCGUAACAUCCUGACAAAAACAGUCUUGUUACAGAAAAGGUCCAAACAAUCCAUCCAUGUUCUAUACUGCUUUAUCCUUUUCAGGGUCACGGGGGAACCUGGAGCCUAUCCCAGGGAGCAUCGGGCACAAGGCGGGGUACACCAUGGACAGGGUGCCAAUCCAUCGCAGAGCACACUCACACACCCGUUCAUACACGGCGGACACUUUGGACACGCCAAUCAGUCUACCAUGCAGGUCUUUUGGACUGGGGGAGGAAACCGGAGUACCCGGAGGAAACCCCCGCAGCACGGGGAGAACAUGCAAACUCCACACACACAGCACUAUGGUGGGAAUCGAACCCCCGGCCCUGGAGGUGUGACGCGAACAUGCUAACCACUAAGCCACCGUGCGCCCAGGUUACUCUGUCUGAUGGGGACUGAGGUCAUGAUUUGUAUAAAAGGUAACGUUGAUAUAAAGAGUACAUUGAAGAAAUUCACAGUCCUUGACUCUGGGUAUUCUGCUAAAGCUAGCGGCAUCACAUUACAUGCGUUUGACGUCAUGCGCCAUCGACUGGGAAACGGCUUAUACUUGCGGUUAGUAAAAUAAUCAGUAGUGUUCCAUUAGUAAUGUUAGUACCAUUCUAAAAUUCAUACACUAGACCGCAUAGUACACAGUGCAUAGUGUAAGUGCAUAGUGCGUCAUUUGGGACACAACUUUGUUAAUUACUCUCCGAAGCGUGUUUUCGGAACAAAAGUAACACAAUAAGUAAACGCAUCCCGUGCCGCAUGUAGACCAACUAAUCGAUAAUGAUAUUGCUUGACAAUGAUUUUCAUAAUAGAUUAUUAUCGAUUAGUUGUUGCAGCUCUACGUAAAACAAAACUCCUAACCAUUAACCCCUGUUUGAGCAUCUGCCCUGCUUCAACGGAGUGCAAAACUUUGCACCCCCCCCCCACCCCCCACCCCAUGGUUUUUGAAUGGGGAAAAAAGGAAAAUAUAUCCCUUUUUUCCCCCGACAAUUUAUCUACAAUUUGAAUUCAUUAAAAUGAAAAUUAUCCUUCAAGAAGACAACAACUGUCAUGUUUAAUUCCACUACUGAGCCAGCAGCUACCACUCCUGAUCCCAAUCUGGUCGACUCUCGACUAUUACGGCUAACACACCUGUUUGUAGUUUCAUUUCAGUCACUCCAGGUAUUUAUACCGCAUUCUAACUUCUUUGUUUAUCUGUUAGGUUCAUAUUUUCCUCACCUGCUUCUUUUAUUCUCUCUUGAAGAAUGAGGUUUUAAAUUGGUCUCAAAAUACUAAAAAAUAUAAUGUCUAUAUAAACAUAACAGACUUUCUCCCCAUACAAGAUGUUUUCAAAUCCAGUUAAAUCAGUUGUGGUAUAAGUCAGGGGUUCGCAAACUUUUCCAGGGCAAGGCCCCCCAAACGGCAUUAACAUUUGACCGAGGCCCCCCUUUUGCAAGAUGACUUUAAAACACAUUCAAAAUACGGACUUCUGAAUAUAUCCCCCUUUUUUACAUUGAUGUUUUGUCUGUUUAGCAAUUAGAAACUUAGGUAUAGCAAAUGUGAUUUUGAUAUGUAUUGUUACAAAUAACAUGUUCUAGAAAUGCAUAUAUAUAAGAAAUCAUGUAUUUAUUUUUCACACCAAAUUGUUGAGGCCCCCCAGGCGCCCCCUGGGGGCCGCAGCCCCCACUUUGAAAACCACUGAUAUAAGGAGAAUAAAACACUUGGGGGUGUGGUGUAUUA
ensembl:lncRNA